CGGGUGAGUAACACGUGAGUAACCUGCCCUUAACUUCGGGAUAAGCCUGGGAAACCGGGUCUAAUACCGGAUACGACGGACCGCCGCAUGGUGGUCCGUGGAAAGCUUUAUGCGGUUUUGGAUGGACUCGCGGCCUAUCAGCUAGUUGGUUGGGGUAACGGCCCACCAAGGCGACGACGGGUAGCCGGCCUGAGAGGGUGACCGGCCACACUGGGACUGAGACACGGCCCAGACUCCUACGGGAGGCAGCAGUGGGGAAUAUUGCACAAUGGGCGAAAGCCUGAUGCAGCGACGCCGCGUGAGGGACGAAGGCCUUCGGGUUGUAAACCUCUUUCAGCAGGGAAGAAGCGAAAGUGACGGUACCUGCAGAAGAAGCGCCGGCUAACUACGUGCCAGCAGCCGCGGUAAUACGUAGGGCGCAAGCGUUAUCCGGAAUUAUUGGGCGUAAAGAGCUCGUAGGCGGUUUGUCGCGUCUGCUGUGAAAGCCCGGGGCUCAACCCCGGGUCUGCAGUGGGUACGGGCAGACUAGAGUGCAGUAGGGGAGACUGGAAUUCCUGGUGUAGCGGUGAAAUGCGCAGAUAUCAGGAGGAACACCGAUGGCGAAGGCAGGUCUCUGGGCUGUAACUGACGCUGAGGAGCGAAAGCAUGGGGAGCGAACAGGAUUAGAUACCCUGGUAGUCCAUGCCGUAAACG
rnacentral:rRNA from 1 species